AUUUAAAUAGCUUAAGUGGGAAAGCUCUUGGCGCGUAACCAAAAGAUCUGGGUUCGAUUCCCGAUUCGGGGU
rnacentral:tRNA from 1 species